GAUGAACGCUGACAGAAUGCUUAACACAUGCAAGUCUUUGGUGAAGCUGUGCUUGCACAGCCUAGCCAAGGCGGACGGGUGAGUAACGCGUCAGGAACUUGCCCUGCAGUCAGGGAUAACAGACGGAAACGACUGAUAAGACCUGGUAAAGUCAGGCGGACUCAUGUCCAGCCUGAUGAAAAGAGAUGCUGCAGGAGAGCCUUGCGUCAUAUUAUCUUGUUGGUGGGGUAACGGCCCACCAAGGCAAUGAUAGGUAGCCGGCCUGAGAGGGUGGACGGCCACAAGGGGACUGAGAUACGGCCCUUACUCCUACGGGAGGCAGCAGUGGAGAAUAUUGGACAAUGGGGGCAACCCUGAUCCAGCAGUUCUGUGUGGACGAUGAAGGUUUUCGGAGUGUAAAGUGCUUUCAGCAGGGGAGAAAAAAAUGACGGUAACUGCAGAAGAAGCGACGGCUAAAUACGUG
rnacentral:rRNA from 1 species